rnacentral:rRNA from 1 species
CAGUAACGGCGAGUGAAGCGGCAACAGCUCAAAUUUGAAAUCUGGCUCCUUCGGGGUCCGAAUUGUAAUUUGUAGAGAGUGCUUCGGGCGAGACCUCGGUCUAAGUCCAUUGGAACAUGGUGUCAUAGAGGGUGAGAAUCCCGUAUGCGACCGUGGCUCGAGCCCAUGUGAAGCCUCUUCGACGAGUCGAGUUGUUUGGGAAUGCAGCUCAAAAUGGGUGGUAAAUUUCAUCUAAAGCUAAAUACUGGCUGGAGACCGAUAGCGCACAAGUAGAGUGAUCGAAAGAUGAAAAGCACUUUGGAAAGAGAGUCAAACAGUACGUGAAAUUGUUGAAAGGGAAGCGCUUGCAACCAGACCUGCCCGUAGGCGAUCAGCCGCUGUUCUCAGCGGUGUAUUCGCUCUGCGAUCAGGCCAGCAUCGGUUUCGGCGGUCGGAUAAAGGCCUUGGGAAUGUAGCUUCCCUUCGGGGGAGUCUUAUAGCCCUCGGUGUAAUGCGGCCAGCUGGGACCGAGGACCGCGCUUCGGCUAGGAUGCUGGCGUAAUGGUUGUAAGCGACCCGUCUUGAAACACGGACCAAGGAGUCUAACAUCUAUGCGAGUGUUUGGGUGUCAAACCCAUGCGCGGAAUGAAAGUGAACGGAGGUGAGAACCCUUAAGGGCGCAUCAUCGACCGAUCCAGAUGUCUUCGGAUGGAUUUGAGUAUGAGCAUAGCUGUUGGGACCCGAAAGAUGGUGAACUAUGCCUGAAUAGGGUGAAGCCAGAGGAAACUCUGGUGGAGGCUCGCAGCGGUUCUGACGUGCAAAUCGAUCGUCAAAUUUGGGUAUAGGGGCGAAAGACUAAUC